GGGGUCUGUGCAUGAAAGGUGCUCCAAUACACAAUAUAGACAAGGUCACAAGCAGAAGGAUAGUCAAGGUGUAGCCGAAGUCAGAGGAUGCCAGAGGUCAGGAUAAACAAUGAGUGGAGCCAAGGUCAAAAGUCGGGGUCAAUCUGGAUAACAAGCUCAGUAGACUAGAAACCAAGAACUACACAGAAUCAAAGGACUGACAAAGUUCUCAGGGAGGGGCAGUAUUGUAUACCAAGCUGAUGAAUAAUCUACCUCAGGUGAAGCACAGGCAAUAGCCACAGAAGAAGUCUAACCCCUUAGUGCUGCAGACAUAGCCAGGUUUGCCUCCUACACAGAUCAAAGAG